rnacentral:rRNA from 1 species
GGACGAACGCUGGCGGCGUGCUUAACACAUGCAAGUCGAACGCUGAAGCUCAGCUUGCUGGGUGGAUGAGUGGCGAACGGGUGAGUAACACGUGAGUAACCUGCCCUCUUCUUUGGGAUAACGCCCGGAAACGGGUGCUAAUACUGGAUAUUCACUGAUUCUCGCAUGGGGGUUGGUGGAAAGGUUUUUUCUGGUGGGGGAUGGGCUCGCGGCCUAUCAGCUUGUUGGUGGGGUGAUGGCCUACCAAGGCUUUGACGGGUAGCCGGCCUGAGAGGGUGACCGGUCACAUUGGGACUGAGAUACGGCCCAGACUCCUACGGGAGGCAGCAGUGGGGAAGAUUGCACAAUGGGCGAAAGCCGGAUGCAGCGACGCCGCGUGAGGGAUGGAGGCCUUCGGGUUGUAAACCUCUUUCGCUCAUGGUCAAGCCGCAGCUUUGGGUUGUGGUGAGGGUAGUGGGUAAAGAAGCGCCGGCUAACUACGUG